rnacentral:rRNA from 1 species
AGGACGAACGCUGGCGGCGUGCCUCAUACAUGCAAGUGGAGCGACGAACCAGGAUUUAUCCUGGGGCAAAGCCGCGAACGGGUGAGUAACACGUGGGUUACCUGCCCCGAUGAUUGGGACAACCCGAGGAAACUCGGGCUAAUACCAAAUGUGUUCUUGGUCGUGAUGACCAAGAAGAAAGGAAGCUUCGGCCUCCGCAUCGGGAUGGGCCCGCGGCCCAUUAGCUAGUUGGUGGGGUAAAGGCCUACCAAGGCGACGAUGGGUAGCUGGUCUGAGAGGACGAUCAGCCACACUGGGACUGAGACACGGCCCAGACUCCUACGGGAGGCAGCAGUAGGGAAUCUUGCGCAAUGCGCGAAAGCGUGACGCAGCAACGCCGCGUGGGGGAAGAAGGCCCUCGGGUUGUAAACCCCUUUCAGUUGGGACGAAGCUUCGUCGGUUAAUAGCCGACUGGAGUGACGGUACCUUCACAAGAAGCACCGGCUAACUACGUGCCAGCAGCCGC